CACGUACUCCCUCCGUUCAGAAUUACUUGUCGUAGAAAUGGAUGUAUCUAGAUGUAUUUUAGUUCUAUAUACAUCCAUUUCCGAGACAAGUAAUUCCGAACGGAGGGAGUACGUA
rnacentral:pre_miRNA from 1 species